GCUGAUAAAGUUGUUUGAUGCCUUGGGGGAAAGUAGCACAGCAAGUUUUCAUCAAAGAUCAUGUAAGAUACUUAAAUAAAUAAAUAAAUAUUAGUUUGAGUUGAUAAUUAAGUAUCAUAAGUUUUAAAGUUUAGGUUUCAAAAAAGCCCCAAUAAGAGAUGUUCUUAGUUCCUAAAUGUAUAUGCUAUUGCGUCAUAUGGUUUUAGAAUGAUGAUAAAAAUUACAAAUAUGUUUCCCUUUUCCUGUCCUUUACAACUUGAAAUGCCUUGUCAAAUAUCUAUUAGGGAAAAAAUAUGUUAAACGUAUUUGUAUCAUAUUUCAACAUUGACUCCAUAAAUGAAAUAGCAUUACCAGCUAUGACAUUUAUUUUUAUAUAGGCAAUAUUAAUUUAGUAAUUUGUUAACCCAAUUAUCAGUGAUUGCCAGGAAAUAAAAAACAAAAAUUUUUGCUUUGAAAAUGAGGCAUUUGUUUAUGGGUAAUGUAGCCAUUAAAUGCAAGCAAUCCCCACUCAUCAGCAUUAAGAAACUCAAGUUCAAAUGUUACAAAUUUUAUCAUUUAUAAGAAUCUCAUGCUAACAAUAGAAAAUUUAAAGGUUGUGUCAGAUUUACUGGCAUCACUAAUCAUGGUAAGUAUUACCUUCAAUUCAGAUAAAUCUAAA
rnacentral:misc_RNA from 1 species